GACGAACCGUCCAAACGUUAUUCGGAAUCACUGGGCUUAAAGGGUGCGUAGGCGGCCCGGAAAGUUGGAUGUGAAAUCCCUCGGCUCAACCGAGGAACUGCAUUCAAAACUACCGGGCUUGAGGGAGAUAGAGGUGAGCGGAACUCAGGGUGGAGCGGUGGAAUGCGUUGAUAUCCUGGGGAACACCAGUUGCGAAGGCGGCUCACUGGGUCUCUUCUGACGCUGAGGCACGAAAGCUAGGGGAGCGAAG
rnacentral:rRNA from 1 species